UAAGAAAAGAAGAAUGAAAAUUACAAUAACAAAAUCUUAAUUCUAAUAGAAUAUUAACAAUGCUCUAAUUAGACUAUAAUAAUACUAAGCAAGCUUAAUCAAAUUCAAAAAAACCUCAAAGAAAUUUCAAACAAAGAAUAAGAAUUCUUAAAGAAAUAUUAGAAUGAUCACAAAUAUCACUCAAAUACAUCUCAAUUCAAUUUUAAUUUAAUUCUAAUUAAAGUCCUAUUGAACUUCAUUCAAAUUUUAGGCCAAAACUAAUUAAAACUUAAACUCUAAUAAAAUCCUAAACCCUAAAUCAAAAUCUAAAUAAACCUUAAACCAAAUCCCAACCAAAUCCUAAACCAAAUCCUAAACAAACCUUAAACCAAACCCCAACCAAAUCCUAAAUCAAACCCUAACCAAAUCCUAAUCAAACCCUAAACCAAACCUUAAAUCUUAAAUCAAAUCCUAACCAAAUCCUAAUCCAAAUCCUAAACUCUAAACCGAACCCUAAUCCAAACCCUAAAUAAAACCCUAACCAAACCCUAAACAAACCUUAAACCAAAUCCCGACCAAAUCCUAAACCAAAUCCUAACCAAACCCUAACCAAAUCCUAAUAUAAACCCUAAAUCCUAAAUCAAAUCCUAACC
rnacentral:lncRNA from 1 species